AGCCAUGCAUGUCUCAGUGCAAGCCAAAUUAAGGUGAAACCGCGAAAGGCUCAUUAAAUCAGCUAUGGUUCCUUAGAUGGUACGUACAGUUACUUGGAUAACUGUGGCAAUUCUAGAGCUAAUACAUGCAAACCGAGUUCCGACCGCUUCGCAGGCGGAAGGAAUGCUUUUAUUAGAUCAAAACCAAUCGGACUCCUCCGCGGGUCCGUCACGCCUUGGUGACUCUGAAUAACUUUGAGCUGAUCGCACGGUCCCGCACCGGCGACGCAUCUUUCAAAUGUCUGACUUAUCAACUUUCGAUGGUAGGCUCUGCGCCUACCAUGGUCGUAACGGGUAACGGGGAAUCAGGGUUCGAUUCCGGAGAGGGAGCCUGAGAAACGGCUACCACAUCCAAGGAAGGCAGCAGGCGCGCAAAUUACCCACUCCCGGCACGGGGAGGUAGUGACGAAAAAUAACGAUGCAGAACUCUAUCCGAGGCUCUGA
rnacentral:rRNA from 1 species